rnacentral:rRNA from 1 species
UGGGGAAUUUUGCGCAAUGGGCGAAAGCCUGACGCAGCAACGCCGCGUGAGUGAUGAAGGCUUUCGGGUCGUAAAGCUCUGUCGAGGGGAAAGAAGUGUAUUGUGGCUAAUAUCCACGAUACUUGACGGUACCCCUAAAGGAAGCACCGGCUAACUCCGUGCCAGCAGCCGCGGUAAUACGGGGGGUGCAAGCGUUGUUCGGAAUUAUUGGGCGUAAAGAGCGUGUAGGCGGUUUGUUUAGUCUGAUGUGAAAGCCCUGGGCUCAACCCAGGAAGUGCAUUGGAUACUGGCAGACUUGAAUACGGGAGAGGGUAGUGGAAUUCCUAGUGUAGGAGUGAAAUCCGUAGAUAUUAGGAGGAACACCGGUGGCGAAGGCGGCUGCCUGGACCGAUAUUGACGCUGAGACGCGAAAGCGUGGGUAGCAAACAGG